rnacentral:rRNA from 1 species
UACGGAGGGGACUAGCGUUGUUCGGAAUUACUGGGCGUAAAGCGCACGUAGGCGGAUUUGUAAGUCAGGGGUGAAAUCCCGGGGCUCAACCUCGGAACUGCCUUUGAUACUGCAAAUCUCGAGUCCGGAAGAGGUGAGUGGAAUUCCUAGUGUAGAGGUGAAAUUCGUAGAUAUUAGGAAGAACACCCGUGGCGAAGGCGGCCCCCUGGGCCGUACCUGACGCUGAGGCGCGAAGGCUAGGGGAGCGAACGGG